AAUAUGUGGACAGGACCUUAAUCAGCAUCCUGGAAGUGGAAAGCACGGAAGGCCUGUGUCCCACAUCACAGACAGGUAAUGCGUUGCUCCUUAAGCAGGGGCCUGUUUGACGGAUAGUCCCAUCUAAUACUCACCGCACAUUUUAGCCUCAGAGCGAAACGUGCUGCGCACUCCGUCUGACUCGUCAGCCGAACAAACUCUCCUCUCUCUGCUUCUAGGUGCAGCGUGUAGCCAAAGCAGCACAGGGGGGGGGCCCCGUGGGGAGGAGGGGGCGGUGCAGCAGCGCACCCCUCCGGCUGUGGGUGUGCUGGGCGGCGACCCCCGGGAGGCUGCGCGGGAUGUGGAAGGGUCAUCCCAGCAUGCCCCGCAGCCGGUCACUGCUGAGAGGUGCCGGCACAUCGGUGAGAAGAACGUGUGCCCGGAGAAUUGCCCCGCCAUUGACCCAGAGGAGCCCGGUCUCUCUACAGAGUGUCACAAACACUCUGAUACACAGACAGAUAAAGCUUUGCAGUAUUCCCAUUUCGGGCCACAGGCUGAUAACAGUGGGCACCCAGGCAGGCCGGCGAGUGGGACAGAGUGGGUUGAUGUUGAAGCAGGCCGGGACCACGCGCUGCAGCCGGGAAGUACAGGUGGACUGGUGGUCAUCAGUGGCACAGACACGGGACAGGAUCUCCCGGAGAAUGAGAAAUUGGAAUAUAAACGUGAGUUUGGAACGGAGGAACAUGCCGGUGUACGUUCAUCAACAAACCUCCCCUCGGAAUCCUGCUCAACAGCCUCCCCUCUUACCCUCAGCCCAAAUAAAGAUACAGUCCCGCACCGCGCACAAGAAAGAGGAAUGGAUCGGCCGCGGACAACUCCGCCUACUCCGGCCAGCCAGGCCAGCCAUGUACCUCUGUCUCAAGUCAGCGAGAAACCAGGCCUUCCCCCAAAUGCUGAGCACCCUCCACCCCCGGGGCCCAUCACAGGCCAUAACGAUGGGACACAAACGGACGUCUCCACGGGACCUAAAAUCACUACGCAGGACUCGAGUGAUGGCAAGGGAGCAAUAUGUGGUGCUAGUGCAGAUGAGCGGGGACCACAGGAAACGGGAGGAUCUACAGGGAAGUGCGAGACCGGACGUGCCACGCACGGGAGUUCACACCCACCGACGCCGCUCCCAUCAACUAAAGUGUCAUGGACCCCUCAGGGGGGAGAGACACACCCCGGACUGGUCCCCUACACACCACCUGGCAGUGGAAAUUCCACCCCGAACUACUCAGCCGAGCGACAGGGAAGCGAGAGCGACCCCCAGAACAGUCCCCCACGUGCAGCAGUGGAACAGACGGAGACCAACAGGGCAGAGGUGGACCCUGAAGUUGCCGAUCUCUCGCCGGACCUUACGAUCCGGCCACAAAGCUCUCCUCGUCCGGAGAUGCCCAGCACGGCACCAACGGCGCCAGCCCCUGCCGUCUGCCACCUCCACAGGACAGAACUAGACUUAAUGCAGACAGACCAGCCUGUCCAAGUUCAGACUGCCGAUUCGGACACCCCACUGGCCUCUGAGCUCUCGAUCCCGGCGAUUGCUCACGGCGCCGUGGUGCUUGGCGGAGAGAGCGGCCUGGAGUUUUCAGAGGAGUUGCAAGUGAAUCAGUGUGUCUUCCUGAAAGAACAUGUUAGCGGGGACGCUGCUGUUGUUGAGUUGCACGCUGAUCUCUCUGCCGGAGAACCCAAGUCAUUUAUAGAAGGGACCCAUUCAGAAAUCGGAAUGGCUUCGCUGGCUGGGGCAGAAUUUGAGAUUUAUAGCUUUGUGGAGGAGGAGAUUGCGACAGAGGUUGUCGAAGACCGGCUGUCUCUCUCCCCGAGCUAUGAGGUAAACUUAUUCACCCCGGUCAUUGAACACUCCGAGAGUGAGGGACAACACAUACACGUAUUGUCUUCCCUGCAAAUGGCUAAUGACGACAGUCACGUCGUCUUGCAGCACGGCCCCCUUACGUCAGAUCACGGCCUCUUAGAAAUGGAGGUGUGCUCAAAUGACUUCACCCCAACCAUCUCCCCACACGACACGGGGAUGUCUGAUGAAGGGCAGAAUUUCCAGGCCGAAAACACAACUGCGGAAGUGUCCGCGGCGGAAGGGUCGGCUAAUAUCUGUUUGAUUCCGACUGUCCCCGUCUUGGAUACGCCACAUGUACGGACAAACGCCGCCACGGAAGCCACGACUCGGUGUCCGGAGGCCGUCCCGGACCACAGAAGGGUGGACGUCGCCGUGGCCGCCUCCUUCGGUGACGCACAAACGCUGCCAGGGCGGACUGGAACGGGAGUGACGGCCAGUACGUCUUCCCUGGUCGUCCCAAUGGCAGAAUUAACAGAGGAGCUUGUGGAGUCAACCGGUCAGCGCUGCGCAGAGGUCCUCUCAUCCCCGAACACCGUACAUCUGUUAGAGAGCGGCGUGAUGAACUGUCCUUCACUAGACCAGGCCCCGGGACUCUCCUUAGAAAAUACCACCAUAUCCGAGCCCUGUUCUUUGUCUGUUGACGGGUCCAGUGAUCCAGAGCCCUGUCCCGCUGCCAUAGAAAUGCCGAUGCAGAUCCAGCAGGACAUUGAUUGUGCCGUUACUGUGACGACAGCCAAGGACAGCCCAGGGGCUUCCCAGUGCGCACUCCCUCCCGGCAUCAUCGACCCAAGUCUUCUCCUCCUAAAGCCCGAGGACACGGCCCUCCUCAAACGCCCGCCCUCCUUCCUGUUGGGGACGACCAGACUGCCGAGCGACGGCCGGGCACAGACCGGCGUCAGCGGCUUGGACACAGCGCCUGCAAUGGAGUGCCUUCCCGAAGCCGCGCUGGGACCUGCGCCGGCGUGCGUCUCUGUCGACCGCCACGAAGAGCAGAGCAUGUCACGUGUGGACUUGGAGCCCGGCGCGACAUCGUCUUCUACGCUCACCACGAACACCGCGUUGCAGCGCCGUCUCUCUAACCCCGCGCCAUGCAGAUCCGACGACGAGGCCUUAACUCCGAUCAAAGCGUCCCCGGGGCCAGCGGGGACCGUUUUGCGAACCCUGGACCCUCCCGACGCCCCGCCUGAGCACUUCUCCGGCCACAUGUUGCCCUCAACCUCGGGCAGUGUGUCUAGGGGUAAGCUCUUCGGUUACUCCAGCGACGGUGGCCAGGCCGGGCCACCGCCGGUCAUCCGGCCACGGCUUGCCGGUGUGAAGGGCCCGGGGUUCGGCGGCCCCAAGGACGAGAGCAGUGAUGGAGAGGAUGACCUGGCAGAGGAGGACAAGGCCAGCCACCGAAGCAUGGGUUCCCCCGGUGGAGCGGAGAGCAAGGUACGCCAGUGGAUAGCUGACAGGGUCACGCCAAGUUCAUCUCCCGUGUCCCCUGGUCCUGACCCAUCCUCCUCCAGUGACUGGACCCCCAGCACCACUCCAAUCCCUCUCAGAGGCGCCCAUGGCAGGUUCCUCUCUCCUCCCACUACGGGCCCUGGGGGUUCCUCCCCGUCGGACCCGGUCACCCCCCAUCGCCCUCGAAUGGAGCGCCACGCCGACAUGGCCGAGCUGGCCAAACACGAAGCGGAGAUAGAGGGCAGGACCCUAGCACUGAAAAAGGAAGGAUUCUGGUCGAUGAAGCGACUGACCCGUUUGACGGAGCCAGUCCGAACCAAGGUGCACUGGGACUACCUGUGUGAGGAAAUGCAGUGGCUCUCGGCAGACUUUGCCCAGGAGAGAAGGUGGAAAAGAGGGGUCGCCAGGAAGGUGGUGCGGAUGGUGAUGCGUCACCACGAGGACCUGCGGCAGAAAGAGGAGAAGGCGAAGAGGGACGAGCACGCCAAAAUCAGACGGGUCGCCUCCAACAUUGCCAAGGAGGUGCGGGCCUUCUGGAGCAGCGUGGAGAAGGUGGUGCAGUACAAGCAGCAGUCCCGGCUGGAGGAGAAGCGGAAGAAGGCUCUGGACCUCCAGCUGGACUUCAUCGUGGGCCAGACGGAGAAAUACUCCGACCUCCUCAGCCAGGCCCUGGAAACGGCCCCGGCUGGGAUCAGUGAACCUGCGUCCUCACCGCACAGACGACAUCUUCCGCCUGCCGUGGAUGAGGAGGACUUUGAGCCUCCAUGUGGUGAGGAGGAGGAUGACGAGGAGACCAUCGAUGUGGAGGAGGCGCAGGAUGGCAAUGAUGCUGAGACCCAGAGGAGAGAGAUUGAGCUGCUAAGACAGGAGGGGACCAUGUCCCUGGCGGAGCUGCUGAGUACCCUCAAAAGGCCCCAGUCACAGGUGGAGACAUUCUGUGAGACACUUUCGUACUUUACUUCCUGUGACAUGAGUAUGGAGGAGCUGCUGGAGAAGUAUAAAGGAGCAUACGCCUCUGAUUUCGAGGAGCCCUCAACAUCCGCCUCCCCCGCUAGCUCGGACCAGUCUGAAAACUCUGGAGAAGAAGAUGAGGAGGAGGAGGAGAGCGAGGAAGAUGAAAGUGACGUGGAAAAUAGGUCAAAGCAUGCCUUUACACUGUCAUCAAGUGGUUUCAGUUAUAGUGAAGAGGAAGAGGUCAGUGAAAACGAGGAGGACAGUAAUGAAGACGAGUGUGACGAGGGGAUGGAGAUCUUGCUGAAGGAGGGGGACCACAGCCCCCCACUACCAGCCGGCCAGCGACCCAAGAAGGAGAUCAGCCACAUUGCCGCCACGGCAGAGAGCCUGCAGCCCAAAGGCUACACCCUGGCCACAACCAAGGUCAAAACUCCCAUUCCGUUCCUGCUGGUGGGCCAGCUGCGGGAGUACCAGCACAUUGGCCUGGACUGGCUGGUCACCAUGUACGAGAAGAAGCUCAACGGCAUCCUGGCUGACGAGAUGGGCCUGGGGAAGACCAUCCAGACCAUCGCCUUGCUCGCUCACCUGGCCUGUGAAAAGGGUAACUGGGGGCCUCACCUGAUCAUCGUGCCGACCAGUGUGAUGCUGAACUGGGAGAUGGAGCUGAAGCGUUGGUGUCCUGGAUUCAAAAUCCUCACUUACUACGGCAGUCAGAAGGAGAGGAAACUGAAGAGACAGGGAUGGACGAAGCCCAAUGCCUUCCACGUGUGCAUCACCUCAUACAAGCUGGUGCUCCAGGACCACCAGGCCUUUCGACGCAAGUCCUGGCGGUACCUGAUCCUGGACGAGGCCCAGAACAUCAAGAACUUCAAGUCCCAGCGCUGGCAGAGCCUGCUGAACUUCAACAGCCAGAGGCGGUUGCUCCUGACGGGCACCCCUCUACAGAACAGCCUGAUGGAGCUGUGGUCCCUCAUGCACUUCCUCAUGCCCCACGUCUUCCAGUCCCACCGGGAGUUCAAGGAGUGGUUCUCCAACCCGCUCACCGGCAUGAUCGAGGGCAGCCAGGAGUACAACGAGGGCCUGGUCAAGAGGCUGCACAAGGUGCUCCGGCCGUUCCUUCUGAGGAGAAUCAAGGCGGACGUGGAGAAGCAGAUGCCUAAGAAGUACGAGCAUGUGGUCCGUUGCCGUCUGUCCAAGAGACAGCGUUUCCUCUACGAUGACUUCAUGGCACAGGCCUCCACUCGGGAAACGCUGGCCAGCGGUCACUUCAUGUCUGUGAUCAACAUCUUGAUGCAGCUCCGUAAAGUGUGUAACCACCCCAACCUGUUUGACCCGCGGCCAAUCCACUCCCCCUUCAUCACCAAGCCCAUCAUAUUCCACACAGCCUCCCUGGUGCAGCAAGCCCUGGAGAUCUCUCCAUUUAAGGUGUGUAUGUGUCUGAGCUGUGCGGCCUGA
ensembl:lncRNA